CCUACGGGAGGCAGCAGUGAGGAAUAUUGGUCAAUGGACGAGAGUCUGAACCAGCCAAGUAGCGUGAAGGAUGACUGCCCUAUGGGUUGUAAACUUCUUUUAUAAAGGAAUAAAACGAGGCACGUGUGCCUUUUUGCAUGUACUUUAUGAAUAAGGAUCGGAUAACUCCGUGCCAGCAGCCGCGGUAAUACGGAGGAUCCGAGCGUUAUCCGGAUUUAGUGGGGUUAAAGGGAGCGUAGAUGGGUUGUUAAGUCAGUUGUGAAAGUUUGCGGCUCAACCGUAAAAUUGCAAUUGAUACUGGCAGUCUUGAGUACAGUUGAGGUAGUCGGAAUUCGUGGUGUAGCGGUGAAAUGCUUAGAUAUCACGAAGAACCCCGAUUGCGAAGGCAGCUUACUAAACUGUGACUGACAUUGAUGCUCGAAAGUGUGGGUAUCAAACAGGAUUAGAUACCCCAGUAGC
rnacentral:rRNA from 1 species